UGGGGAAUAUUGCACAAUGGGCGAAAGCCUGAUGCAGCAACGCCGCGUGAGUGAUGAAGGUCUUCGGAUUGUAAAGCUCUGUCUUUUGGGACGAUAAUGACGGUACCAAAGGAGGAAGCCACGGCUAACUACGUGCCAGCAGCCGCGGUAAUACGUAGGUGGCGAGCGUUGUCCGGAUUUACUGGGCGUAAAGGGUGCGUAGGCGGAUGUUUAAGUGAGAUGUGAAAUACCCGGGCUUAACUUGGGUGCUGCAUUUCAAACUGGAUAUCUAGAGUGCAGGGGAGGAGAAUGGAAUUCCUAGUGUAGCGGUGAAAUGCGUAGAGAUUAGGAAGAACACCAGUGGCGAAGGCGAUUCUCUGGACUGUAACUGACGCUGAGGCACGAAAGCGUGGGUAGCAAACAGGAUUAGAUACCCUGGUAGUCCACGCCGUAAACGAUGAGUACUAGGUGUAGGAGGUAUCGACCCCUUCUGUGCCGCAGUAAACACAUUAAGUACUCCGCCUGGGAAGUACGAUCGCAAGAUUAAAACUCUAAAGUGAAUUGACGGGGGUCAUA
rnacentral:rRNA from 1 species